GAUGAACGCUGGCGGCGUGCCUAAUACAUGCAAGUCGAGCGAACAGACGAGGAGCUUGCUCUUCUGACGUUAGCGGCGGACGGGUGAGUAACACGUGGAUAACCUACCUAUAAGACUGGGAUAACUUCGGGAAACCGGAGCUAAUACCGGAUAAUAUAUUGAACCGCAUGGUUCAAUAGUGAAAGACGGUUUUGCUGUCACUUAUAGAUGGAUCCGCGCCGCAUUAGCUAGUUGGUAAGGUAACGGCUUACCAAGGCGACGAUGCUUAGCCGACCUGAGAGGGUGAUCGGCCACACUGGAACUGAGACACGGUCCAGACUCCUCCGGGAGGCAGCAGUAGGGAAUCUUCCGCAAUGGGCGAAAGCCUGACGGAGCAACGCCGCGUGAGUGAUGAAGGUCUUCGGAUCGUAAAACUCUGUUAUUAGGGAAGAAAAAAUGUGUAAGUAACUAUGCACGUCUUGACGGUACCUAAUCAGAAAGCCACGGCUAACUACGUG
rnacentral:rRNA from 1 species